rnacentral:lncRNA from 12 species
AUGGGGGCGGGGGUAUCCCAGGCCAGCCUGGCCCCAAGAGGCCACCAAGAAGCCCACGCUUGUGCCUUCCCCCCCUCAGGUGACCAGUGGGGUCAAGCCCUGGCUGUACGAGGGGCCUCUACCCCUGCCCCCCGCACGGCCGCCCCCUGCCCAGGCAGCCCCCAUCCACACACACACAUACCCCGGUUCCCACCAGGUGCCUGCCAGCUACUACCAGCCCACCCCCAACCGAGGCCUUCCCAGGGCCCACUGCCCAGGCUCAGGCCCUCCCCAGGACCCUGGCCGGACCCCCAGAGCCCUCCUCAGCCACCCGGCUGGUCCACCCUAUGGCUCCUCAGCGCACCUACUGCAGCCUCCGCCAGCGGCUGUGAUUCACACCUGCCACCUGGCCUUGUCCCUUGUCCCUUGUCCCUGCCUGCCCUCCAUCCUGCUGACCUUCCCCUCCCGCCUCUCCCGACCCCACUGCACGAACCUCUCCUCGCCCCAGCAGCCCUGCCUCCACUUCCCGGCCACGUCCUCCUGGGACCACCCAGCAGUCUGGGUCCCUGGAGGGCAGGGCCACGUCCCCUUCAGAUCUCCCCAAGGAAGGGUGCAUUUCAGAGGGUCGGUGCACACAAGUGGACCGCGAGGCCCGACAAGAGGACAGGACAGCUCGGGUGGACCAGGUCGGCAGGUCAGACAGGACCACCUGCGUUCAUCGCCCACCACCCGGCGUGCGUGGGAACCCAGCAGGGACACAGCCCGGUGGCUCACUCGUGCCGCAAGGCGGAUGUCCAGACCAGGUGCCUGUGCCAAGGCGGUGGGGACCCGAGGCCCUGCCCCGCCAUGCCCACCCCUGGGCCCGGGAGGACUCGGCCCAGCCUGGAGGUCAGACCACAAAGCUCUCGCGCUGUCCUGGCACCUGUCUUGGAGGGGACAGGGAGGGGCUCAUCUUGUGUCCCAAACUGCACCCUUGCUGAUGGGCGGGUCCCAGGCUUCACCGCUCCCUAUAGGGCCCCAACCCCCCACCCCGGGCGGCUGCCAGGGGCGCUCUACAGUCCCCGCUGCAGACCCCUGCCCCCGGGGCCUCCCCCGCCCCCAGCCUGGGGAGCCCUGCCUGGGGAGCCCCGGCGCCAGAGGUCUGGUUAUGUGUCAGCAGCUUCCAGCCUACAGCCCAUUACUCUGCAGCAUAGGGUGUUGGGUCGGGAACUCGUGGGCUCCAGGAGGAAGAGCUUGGAAAGCCUGCCCCAGCCUGCACCCACUGCCCCCAGUGCUGUCCCCUGGGCCCCACGGGGCUGGCACUGA